rnacentral:lncRNA from 1 species
UUCAAUUUCAACUCUGCAAAAUUGGCAGAGCAUAAACCCUAAACCCUAAUGCUAAUUCAAAAGCAUAACUGCAGAACCACGAAUACCCAGAUACACAUCUUGAUUUUCUUCUUUGAUAUGCUCUUCAAUUUGCAUAAAAUGUUCUCUCUCUCAAGAAAAUCAAACCCUAAAACCCUAAUCCUCUGGUCCCACCUUCAAUUCACAGUCUCAAUUUCAAGUCUCAAAGUGGUUUGGCGUAAAGACCGAAGGCUCGACCAAGCUAUUCAAAACGACAAGCAAUGGCGACUUUGCGCUCGGGUUGUCAGAGAGGUCCUAAACGAACCGGGUCAAGUCAUCCCGCUUCGGUACCUCGAGAAACGCCGUGAGAGGCUCCGAUUACCCAUCAAAAUCCAAACUUUCCUGGCCCGAAAUCCGGGUUUAUUUGAAAUCUACAUGGAUCGGAUCAAGCCGAAAUCCCAUCCGGUUCGUUUCGUCCGUGCUGGUGAUAGGCUUAACCAGUUUUUAGAGGAAGAGAAAAGGAUUUAUAGUGAAAAUGAGCCGUUAAUUGUUUCGAAACUUUGUAAACUGUUGAUGAUGGCAAAAAAUAGAGUUGUCAGCGCAGAUAAAUUAGUUGAGGUUAAGAGGGAAUUCGGGUUUCCAAAUGAUCUUUUAGUGAAUUUGGUGCCGAAGUACCCCGAAUAUUUUAGGUUAUAUGGGACUCCGGGAGAGGGGAAAUCGUAUCUAGAAUUGGUUUUGUGGAAUGACAAUUUUGGAAAGUCAGUUAUUGAGAAGAGGGCAGAGGAGGAGUCGAGGUUGAUGGGGAUUAGGGUGAGACCUGCGUUUAAUUGGAAGCUCCCACCUGGAUUUUAUAUCAAGAAGGAAAUGAGGGAGUGGAUUAGGGAUUGGAUGGAGCUUCCAUAUAUCUCGCCUUAUGAUGAUGUAUCACAUUUGGAGCAGGCAUCUCCUGAAAUGGAGAAGUGGACGGUUGGGGUUUUCCACGAGUUGCUUUCUCUAUCCCUUUAUAAGAGGAUUCCAGUGCCUGUUUUGGGGAAAUUUUGUGAAGAAUAUAGGUUUUCAAAUGCAUUCUCAAGCGUAUUUACAAGGCAUUCUGGGAUUUUUUAUAUGUCGUUGAAGGGUGGCAUUCAGACCGCAAUGCUGAGGGAAGCAUACAAGGGUGAGGAGUUGGUUGAUAUUGAUCCACUUGUUGUGAUCAAGGAUAAGUUUGUUGAGUUGCUCGAUGAGGGACAUCAGCAGAGGGUCGAGAAAAUCAGGGUUAAAAGGGAAAUGGUUUGGAAAGAAAUGGAAUUCAUGUCAGCUAGUAAUAAAGAAUACAACUAUGAUAAGCAAAAUGCAGAGUUAUGAGAAACUGUGGAAAAUGACGUUAAGGAAUUCAAACACAGUAGUGUUGGAAGUUAUGAGGUAUCCCAAAUGUUUGCUCAGUAAUGUUGGAAGCACAUCUUGUUGAGGCGAGUAAUAUUUCUACUGGAUCUACUUCGGAUUAGCCUUGUGACAAGAUGAAGAUGUUAAAUGGUUUUUGUGACUAGCUUGCUUCCACUUCACAGCAACCGGCAACUGCAAAUGCAACUGCAACUGAGAGGGCUCGUGGACUAGUAUCCUUUAUAGAAAAGCUGCUUUUUGGAACCCGGUCUUUUGGUACAUGAUAAUCUUUCCAAGCAGGUAUAAAUUUUGGGAUAUGUCCUGUUUUUCUCUUUUAACAAAAUAGGAUUGAUCUAUACAUCUUAUAUAAGAAGUGCAAUGUAUGUUUUCCGCCUCCCUCAGGUCAUCCGUUGAGAUAAGUAACUGGUUUUGAUCGUUCCUGCGGUGCAUACGAGUUUGCUGUAUGGAUAUGCUUGUAUUGUAAAUGACGGGGCUCUUCUAUUUGAUCCUGAUAACAUUCUGAUCGAUGUUAUUAUUAAAUUGUCUGAUGAUAUUAGAGGAUGCUACGUUUAAUUUUCGGCAUUUUGUAAGUAUAUUUUGAAUUUUGAGAUCUGUAAGUGCUUAAAGCUCUUCAUUCUGAUCGAUGAUAUUAGAGAAUGGUUAAUCUAUUUUUAGCAUUUUGAAGUGUAUUUUGAAUUCUUAUAUCUGUAAAUGCUUAAUACUUAGUACCAUUCUUUGAUUAUUCAAGUUUUGAUGAUCGGAACUAAU